rnacentral:lncRNA from 1 species
UUGUAAACUUUUUAUGUUCUAUUUCUAUCUUUUUUGCUUUAUUUUUCUUAUGGUUUAUCAGUUGUUUAAGUUUUCUACAUAAGAUUCUUUGUUUCUAACGCACUUCAUCCCAUCUCUUAUUGGCAUUGAUAGGCCAAAUCCCUCUAGAAAUGGGAUAGCUUGGCAAGGGUAUUAGAGAAUAUUGUAAAGACCCUAAUGAGGUUUUGGUUAUGA